rnacentral:rRNA from 1 species
UACGGAGGGUGCAAGCGUUGUCCGGAAUCACUGGGCGUAAAGGGCGCGUAGGCGGGAUGGCAAGUCGGUCGUGAAAUCCUUCGGCUCAACCGAAGAACGUCGGCCGAUACUGCCGUUCUUGAGGGAUGCAGAGGAGAUUGGAAUUCCCGGUGUAGCGGUGAAAUGUGUAGAGAUCGGGAGGAACACCGGUGGCGAAGGCGGGUCUCUGGGCAUCUCCUGACGCUGAGGCGCGAAAGCGUGGGGAGCAAACAGG